rnacentral:rRNA from 1 species
AUUGAACGCUGGCGGCAGGCCUAACACAUGCAAGUCGAGCGGAUGAAGGGAGCUUGCUCCUGGAUUCAGCGGCGGACGGGUGAGUAAUGCCUAGGAAUCUGCCUGGUAGUGGGGGAUAACGUCCGGAAACGGGCGCUAAUACCGCAUACGUCCUGAGGGAGAAAGUGGGGGAUCUUCGGACCUCAUGCUAUCAGAUGAGCCUAGGUCGGAUUAGCUAGUUGGUGGGGUAAAGGCCUACCAAGGCGACGAUCCGUAACUGGUCUGAGAGGAUGAUCAGUCACACUGGAACUGAGACACGGUCCAGACUCCUACAGGAGGCAGCAGUGGGGAAUAUUGGACAAUGGGCGAAAGCCUGAUCCAGCCAUGCCGCGUGUGUGAAGAAGGUCUUCGGAUUGUAAAGCACUUUAAGUUGGGAGGAAGGGCAGUAAGUUAAUACCUUGCUGUUUUGACGUUACCAACAGAAUAAGCACCGGCUAACUUCGUG